GAUGAACGCUGGCGGCGUGCCUAAUACAUGCAAGUCGAGCGAACGGACGAGAAGCUUGCUUCUCUGAUGUUAGCGGCGCACGGGUGAGUAACACGUGGAUAACCUACCUAUAAGACUGGGAUAACUUCGGGAAACCGUAGCUAAUACCGGAUAAUAUUUUGCACCGCAUGGUUCAAAAGUGAAAGACGGUCUUGCUGUCACUUAUAGAUGGAUCCGCGCUGCAUUAGCUAGUUGGUAAGGUAACGGCUUACCAAGGCAACGAUGCAUAGCCGACCUGAGAGGGUGAUCGGCCACACUGGAACUGAGACACGGUCCAGACUCCUACGGGAGGCAGCAGUAGGGAAUCUUCCGCAAUGGGCGAAAGCCUGACGGAGCAACGCCGCGUGAGUGAUGAAGGUCUUCGGAUCGUAAAACUCUGUUAUUAGGGAAGAACAUAUGUGUAAGUAACUGUGCACAUCUUGACGGUACCUAAUCAGAAAGCCACGGCUAACUACGUG
rnacentral:rRNA from 1 species